GUGCUCGCUUCGGCAGCACAUAUACUAAAAUUGGAAUGAGACAAAGAAGAUUAGCAUGACCCCUGUGCAAGAAUGACAUGCAAAUUUGUGAAGCAUUCCAUAUAUUU
ensembl:snRNA U6 U6 spliceosomal RNA